UCCUACCCGCGCCUUAAAUCGUUUUAGACUCUGCCAUCUCUCCUCUUGACAAACAUACAAAUGAAGAGAGCAACAGAAUACAAAAACCACAAGUAAUUCUUAGUAAAACGAUGAGUCCAAUCCAUCUAAGCAGCAUUUCUCAGCAACCCUUUUCUCCAUUCCUCCUUAAUUUUCAUUCCAACUCCAAACCCAUUAACGAUACAAGAAUCAAAGCAUCAUCAUCAGGAAAAGCCGAAAAGAAGAUGGAAAUACGAGUUUGCACAAACAGGACAUGCAGAAAACAAGGUUCCUUAGACACCCUUCAAGUUUUAUCUGGAAUUUCCCCUCCCUUUGUAACCGUUAACUCAUGUGGCUGUCUUAGCAAUUGUGGUGCUGGACCAAACAUCGUCGUUUUACCUGAUGCUGUAUUUGUCAAGCAUUGUGGUACUCCAACUCGAGCUGCUGAGAUUAUGGCGUUUGUAUGUCUUGGUAGGGAUGACGUGGAAGGGGAAAGUAGGAAAAGCUUGGAAGCUUUAGCUUUGAGGAAAAGAGCUGAGGAUGAAAUGGGUAAUGGUAAUUUUUCUGAGGCACGUUGUUUACUUUCUCAGGCUAUUGAUCUAAAACCGUUUGGAGGUGUUCAUAUUAUGCUCAAAGACAGGUCUGCUGCGGAGUUGGCAAUGGGAAAUUUGGCUGAGGCACUUGAAGAUGCUAAGGAAGCGUUAACUAUUGCUUCCAACUAUCCUGAAGGUUAUAUCUGCCAAGGUGAUGCUUUGAUGGCUUUGGAUCAAAUUGAUGCAGCCGAGAGGUCAUACUCCAUGGCUUUAGAGUUAGAUCCAUCCAUCCGUCGUUCAAAAUCUUUCAAGAGAGAUCUGCUCAGGCACACCACAAAGCUAAUCCAUGUGGAGGGCGGUAUUUGUUAGUAAAAUACUUUAUAAGUCAUCAAAAUCCAACCUGAAUACUGUACUAUAUUACAAGAAAGAAUUAGCCUGAAGUAAAUCUGUCAGCUGAGACCACAUGCAUGCACACAGGCUCGGAUUGCAAAGCUUAAGGAGAAACUUGUUGCAAAUUCAGCAUGAGGAACCUGCUUGUAUGUUUUACUAAUUAGGAUCUCUGUCAACAUAAUUUGCCUAUCGUAUGUAGGUAUUGCUGAUGUAGAAUACGUUCAAGUAUGCCAAGUCUAUAGAUGUGAACCACCACUGAUAUAAAUGAUUCCUUGUGUUGUAGUGCAUUGUCUUAGUUUGACAUUGUAUACAGAAUAAAUUGUAAAGAGAAGAUUGUUUUGUUCAUUGCCUAGAUUGUUUUGUUUAUUGACUA